rnacentral:rRNA from 1 species
GAUGAACGCUGGCGGCGUGCCUAAUACAUGCAAGUCGAGCGAACAGAUAAGGAGCUUGCUCCUUUGACGUUAGCGGCGGACGGGUGAGUAACACGUGGGUAACCUACCUAUAAGACUGGAAUAACUCCGGGAAACCGGGGCUAAUGCAGGAUAACAUGUUGAACCGCAUGGUUCUACAGUGAAAGGCGGCUUUGCUGUCACUUAUAGAUGGACCCGCGCCGUAUUAGCUAGUUGGUGAGGUAACGGCUCACCAAGGCAACGAUACGUAGCCGACCUGAGAGGGUGAUCGGCCACACUGGAACUGAGACACGGUCCAGACUCCUACGGGAGGCAGCAGUAGGGAAUCUUCCGCAGUGGGCGAAAGCCUGACGGAGCAACGCCGCGUGAGUGAUGAAGGUCUUCGGAUCGUAAAACUCUGUUAUUAGGGAAGAACAAAUGCGUAAGUAACUGUGCGCGUCUUGACGGUACCUAAUCAGAAAGCCACGGCUAACUACGUG